rnacentral:rRNA from 1 species
UUAAGUUGAUCAUGGCUCAGGACGAACGCUGGCGGCGAUGCCUAAUACAUGCAAGUCGAGCGAACAGAGAAGGAGCUUGCUCCUUCGACGUUAGCGGCGGACGGGUGAGUAACACGUGGGCAACCUACCUUAUAGUUUGGGAUAACUCCGGGAAACCGGGGCUAAUACCGAAUAAUCUAUUUUACUUCAUGGUGAAAUACUGAAAGACGGUUUCGGCUGUCGCUAUAAGAUGGGCCCGCGGCGCAUUAGCUAGUUGGUGAGGUAACGGCUCACCAAGGCGACGAUGCGUAGCCGACCUGAGAGGGUGAUCGGCCACACUGGGACUGAGACACGGCCCAGACUCCUACGGGAGGCAGCAGUAGGGAAUCUUCCACAAUGGGCGGAAGCCUGAUGGAGCAACGCCGCGUGAGUGAAGAAGGUUUUCGGAUCGUAAAACUCUGUUGUAAGGGAAGAACAAGUACAGUAGUAACUGGCUGUACCUUGACGGUACCUUAUUAGAAAGCCACGGCUAACUACGUGCCAGCAGCCGCGGUAAUACGUAGUGGCAAGCGUUGUCCGGAAUUAUUGGCGCGUAAAGCGCGCGCAGGCGGUCCUUUUAAGUCUGGAUGUGAAGCCACGGGUUCAACCGUGGAGGGUCCUUGGCAAACUGGGGGG